GUCGCCGCCGCGAGUCGCCGCCCAUCGGCCCGCCUGCCUUCAGAUCUGAACGGCGUGAAAGUGUGGAGCCUGGAUGUUCUGAUUGGCAUUCAGAAUUUACUGAUGCAGGCGCCAGCAAGAGUCCUCAAGGCAGCAAGUCCACUGACAGGUACAAUGACCACAAAAGGAGCAGGAAGCAAUCGUAUGACGAUCCCUAUCUUGAAGGGAGCUAUUCCACUGCACACAAAUCACCAAGAAAAGGGCGCAGCACUAAAAGAAGCUCCAGGCGUUCCACAAGAGAAGUCGCAGUAGUCGUGAUUCGUGAUUGAGGCAGCUGAAUAUCUGGGCAUCUGGCCGAUCGAAUGCCGUAUAGAUGGCACUACCUCAUGUAGUAGUCAUUUGCCAGCCUUGUUUUCUACUGCUUUUUCCCCCUUUCCUCUUUGCUGAUGAGAGGUUCUUUACUGGAGAGAGCUCUCUUGCGAUGCAGAAGGCUUAUAAUUUUUUUUUUCUAGUCUAGAGUUAUUGAUACUAUAUGGGAACGAUGCCACGGUGAUGUCAAUGAGGGGUGUUAGCCGGACUCCACCUAUGUCUAGAAGGAUAGCCUUUAGCGAUGGAGCAUAAACCUCUCCUGUCUCAACUAUUUUAUAUUUGCGAAUCUGGGAUUGUUUCUCCUCUUACUGACGUAGCUGGUGAUCAUGGACCUGUUGCUGAAACCAGGAUCUAGGAUGGUUGUUAAGCAUAUCAAUUAGCAGAU